ensembl:lncRNA
CUUAAGAGUAAAACCAUGUAUAUUAUUAAAAAUAUUUACAAUUUCAAUUGUCAAUAAUGUAGGUCACUUUGAUUUUCAAUACCUAAACUUUUUUACAUGUUUGGAACAAAGACAUUAUAUGUAUAGAGUUUUUGUUCUGUUUUGCUUUUACAUCAAGGAUAUGCCGGUUGCCCUCCUCUGCCAGAAACUGGAAAAGUCUGUCUUUUAAACACAGUUAUCAUUAGUAUAUGCUCAGGAACAAUGUUUUUACCUUCUUUCAAGUAGAACUCUAAAGUGACAGAAGAUACCAUCCUAACCUCCCGGGAAGCAAAUACAAGAGAAUAACAGAAGUCUGCGCACCCUGACUGUGCUCAAUCAAGAUAAAUUUGAAUAAUCCAGCAUCAUGUAGGACAGUGGGAUGAGCUCCUUCCUGAAGAAGCAAGGUUUUACAUAGGUGAGUCAGUGCUUUCUUAUGACAACAUUCCAUGACUUCUGCACCAAUCCUAGCUGAAGAAAUGCUUUCUGUGCACGUUCCCAC